UACAGAGGUCUCAAGCGUUGUUCGGAUUCAUUGGGCGUAAAGGGUGCGUAGGCGGCGCGGUAAGUCGGCUGUGAAAGUCCAGGGCUCAACCCUGGAAAGCCGGCCGAUACUGUCGGACUAGAGUCCGGAAGAGGCGAGUGGAAUUCCCGGUGUAGCGGUGGAAUGCGUAGAGAUCGGGAAGAACAUCAGUGGCGAAGGCGGCCUGCUGGGCUGACACUGACGCUGAGGCGCGAAAGCGUGGGGAGCAAACAGG
rnacentral:rRNA from 1 species